GGCUUAUAAUUGAAGUCUAGUAUGAAUGGGAACACGGGAAUAUUCUGUCUUUAAUAUAUAAAAGAAAUUACUAAUUAAGUGAAAAUUCUUAAAAGUAAGAAAAUAGACGAGAAGACCCUAGAAAUUUUUUAAUUUGAUUUUGUUGGGGCGACAGGGUAACAAAAAACUUACCUAAAGUAAUAGGAAAUUUUUUAGUGGUGUAAUUAAAUUACUCUAGGGAUAACAGCAUAAUAUUUUAAAGGUUGUGACCUCGAUGUUGGACUAGGA
rnacentral:rRNA from 1 species